GAUGAACGCUGGCGGCGUGCCUAAUACAUGCAAGUCGAGCGAACAGACGAGGAGCUUGCUCCUCUGACGUUAGCGGCGGACGGGUGAGUAACACGUGGAUAACCUACCUAUAAGACUGGGAUAACUUCGGGAAACCGGAGCUAAUACCGGAUAAUAUAUUGAACCGCAUGGUUCAAUAGUGAAAGACGGUUUUGCUGUCACUUAUAGAUGGAUCCGCGCCGCAUUAACUAGUUGGUAAGGUAACGGCUUACCAAGGCAACGAUGCGUAGCCGACCUGAGAGGGGGGUCCGCCCCACCGGAAACGGAGACACGGCCCAAACCCCUAGGGGGGGAGCAAGUGGGAAAUUUUCCGAAAGGGGGGAAAGCCUGCCGGAGCAACGCCGGGGGGGUGAAGAGGUCUUUCGGAUCGAAAAACGCUUUUAUUGGGGAAAAAAAAAUGGGAAAGUAACUAUGCACGUUUUGAGGGUCCCAAAUAAAAAAGCCACGGCAAACUACGG
rnacentral:rRNA from 1 species